rnacentral:rRNA from 1 species
UACGUAGGGGGCAAGCGUUGUCCGGAUUUAUUGGGCGUAAAGAGCUCGUAGGCGGCUCAGUAAGUCGGGUGUGAAACCUCCAGGCUCAACCUGGAGACGCCACUCGAUACUGCUGUGGCUUGAGUCCGGUAGGGGAGCGUGGAAUUCCUGGUGUAGCGGUGAAAUGCGCAGAUAUCAGGAGGAACACCAGCGGCGAAGGCGGCGCUCUGGGCCGGAACUGACGCUGAGGAGCGAAAGCGUGGGUAGCAAACAGG